UACGUAGGUGGCAAGCGUUGUCCGGAUUUACUGGGCGUAAAGCGCGCGCAGGCGGGCUGGUCAGUCCGGGGUGAAAUCUCACGGCUCAACCGUGAGCGGUCCCCGGAUACUGCCAGUCUUGAGGUGUCUAGAGGAGAGCGGAAUUCCCGGUGUAGUGGUGGAAUGCGUAGAUAUCGGGAAGAACACCAGUGGCGAAAGCGGCUCUCUGGGGACCACCUGACGCUGAGGCGCGAAAGCGUGGGGAGCGAACCGG
rnacentral:rRNA from 2 species